UACGGAGGGAGCUAGCGUUGUUCGGAAUUACUGGGCGUAAAGCGCGCGUAGGCGGCUUUGUAAGUUAGAGGUGAAAGCCCGGAGCUCAACUCCGGAACUGCCUUUAAGACUGCAUCGCUUGAAUCCAGGAGAGGUGAGUGGAAUUCCGAGUGUAGAGGUGAAAUUCGUAGAUAUUCGGAAGAACACCAGUGGCGAAGGCGGCUCACUGGCCUGGUAUUGACGCUGAGGUGCGAAAGCGUGGGGAGCAAACAGG
rnacentral:rRNA from 1 species